CUGCAGCGCCGUCGGAAAGUUGCUCCGAGUAUUCUGCGGUGCUCAGUUGUGCAGGAAUUGCAAUUAGCCUGAUUUGCAUAUAUAAACAUCUUCAGCCUAUUCACGCCGCUCGCAGCCGAAGAAAGUGCUGAGAAGUCACUACAAGCUGAAACCAUCGCCCAGACUUUACAGCAGCCACCAGCGAACGCAUCCGGGAAUCCAUCAGUGAAAUGCACUCAUUGUCGCUAAUUUUUGUUAGCUCUUAAAGCAUACCAUUUAUCAGAUUCAUAGAACCAUAGGGUCACAGAAUAUUUGGGUUGGACUUCCACUAGACCAGGUCACUCCAAGCCCCAUCCAGCCUGGCCUUGAACACUUGCAGGGAUGGGGCAUCCACAGCUUCUCUGGGCAACCUGUGCCACUGUCUCACCACUCUCACAGUAAAAAUUUCUUUCUAAUAUGUAAUCUAAACAUCCCUUCUUUCAGUUUUAAGCCCGUACCGCUUGUCCUACCACUCCAAGGCCUGGUAAAAUGUCCCUCUCCAGAUCUCUUGUAGCCUCCCUUUAGAACAUCACUACAGGAAGAGAAUUCACUCUCACCGUAAUCACACCUGGCUCCAAAACUUGUGUAUGCCAUCUCUCUUGAUGAAAGGAUAAAUAUCCCUUGAAAACAGAGCGAUUAAGCAAAAUGCCUUGAUGAUUAAUCACUCAGGUUAUCCCUCUCCCUCCUUCCUGUCACCACCUCAAUAUCAUCCUCACUUGUUGCGUCUUGUUGGCUCUCACCAAGGUGCCCCAGCCCCGAAAACCCAAACCAGCUGGGAAGUGCGCAGAUGUUACAGAUUUCCAAUUUUUAGGGCCAUCCACUUGGCACAUCCACUCUAACAAAACCAGACUCACGUACAGCGACUCGAUCGCAGUGGCAGCUCAGAUUGUAAAGAAAACUGGCGAUCCAGCUGGGAGA